GACGAACGCUGGCGGCGCGCCUAACACAUGCAAGUCGAACGAGAGAGGAAGAGCUUGCUUUUCCGAUCGAGUGGCGAACGGGUGAGUAACGCGUGAGGAACCUGCCUCAAAGAGGGGGACAACAGUUGGAAACGACUGCUAAUACCGCAUAAGCCCACGGCUCGGCAUCGAGCAGAGGGAAAAGGAGCAAUCCGCUUUGAGAUGGCCUCGCGUCCGAUUAGCUAGUUGGUGAGGUAACGGCCCACCAAGGCGACGAUCGGUAGCCGGACUGAGAGGUUGAACGGCCACAUUGGGACUGAGACACGGCCCAGACUCCUACGGGAGGCAGCAGUGGGGAAUAUUGCACAAUGGGGGAAACCCUGAUGCAGCGACGCCGCGUGGAGGAAGAAGGUCUUCGGAUUGUAAACUCCUGUUG
rnacentral:rRNA from 1 species